rnacentral:lncRNA from 1 species
CUGUUGAUAUGCGCCCCGGAGCACUGAAGGCCGCACGGAGGUCUCCCCGGAGCCGCCUCCUCUCCACACAGAACGGCCCCGGCUCCCUCAGCCUUCCUGCAUAGGAGUGGUCCCAGAUCUCCCUUCCCGUGUACUGAGGCAGGAUCCCAGGCUGAGUUUCUAGUUCAUCUCUCAAAAGGAAAUAGAAGCAACUGUUCUACCACCGAUUCCAGGACAUUCCACAAUUUACUGACAGUGAUACGAUCCCCUGGAGCACUCUCUUUGGCAGGAAGACCAUCCCUGCGCUCUCCUCAUAGGAAAGAUGCUCUCACCCUCCCUGCAGCUUGGCGGCUGUUCCCUGGGUCUGUUUCUGUGUGUUACUGGGGAGCCCACACCUGGACACUGUGGUCUCACCAGAGCUGAGCAGAGGGGAAUGGAACGAUGACCUCGAGCUGCUGGCAGCGCUCCUCACACAGCCCAGGGAUGAGCAAUGCUCAGUGAGAGCCGAGGCAGAAGAGCUGUGCAGUGCCUCAGCUGCUCCCCACCAGCACUUUCCAUCCCCGUGCCGUCCCCAGGAUCCUUGGUCACUUCCAAUCCGCUUGCAGGACCUUGACAUCUCACAUACUGCUGGCAAGGUCUCAACGUCUUGUGUUCCGACAGGGCAAGACAUGGAUGCCUUGAGAAAUGCCAGCAGGACUCAAUGCAGGUUGUCUGUAGCAGUGAGAAAGCUGAAAGACAGUCACUGCCAGCAUACCAGGAGCAAUCUUCCAUCUCCA